rnacentral:tRNA from 3 species
GCGGGUAUAGUUCAAUGGUAGAACUCCAGCCUUCCAAGCUGAUCAUGCGGGUUCGAUUCCCGCUACCCGCUCCA